AGGGUUUGAUCAUGGCUCAGGACGAACGCUGGCGGCAUGCCUAACACAUGCAAGUCGAACGAGAAAGUCACUUCGGUGGUGAUUAAAGUGGCGCACGGGUGAGUAACGCGUAGACAAUCUGCCCUUCAGUCUGGGACAACUUUUCGAAAGGGGAGCUAAUACUGGAUAACAAUGUUUGACAUAAGUUAAAUAUUUGAAAGCUUUAUGUGCUGAAGGAGGGGUCUGCGUCCCAUUAGCUAGUUGGUGAGGUAAAGGCUUACCAAGGCAACGAUGGGUAGCGGGUUUGAGAGGACGAUCCGUCACACUGGAACUGAGACACGGUCCAGACUCCUACGGGAGGCAGCAGUGGGGAAUAUUGCACAAUGGAGGAAACUCUGAUGCAGCAAUGUCGCGUGAGUGAAGAAGGCCUUUGGGUCGUAAAGCUCUUUUAUGGGGGAAGAUGAUGACGGUACCCCAGGAAUAAGCACCGGCUAACUACGUGCCAGCAGCCGCGGUAAUUC
rnacentral:rRNA from 1 species